CCUACGGGAGGCAGCAGUGAGGAAUAUUGGUCCAUGGACGCACGUCUGAACCAGCCAUGCCGCGUGCAGGAAGACGGCUCUAUGAGUUGUAAACUGCUUUUGUACGAGGGUAAACGCAGAUACGCGUAUCUGUCUGAAAGUAACGUACGAAUAAGGAUCGGCUAACUCCGUGCAAGCAGCCGCGGUAAUACGGAGGGUUCAAGCGUUACACGGAUUUAUUGGGUUUAAAGGGUGCGUAGGCGGUCGGAUAAGUUAGAGGUGAAAUCCCGAGGCUCAACUUCGGAAUUGCCUCUGAUACUGUUCGGCUAUAGAGUAGUUGCGGUAGGCGGAAUGUAUGGUGUAGCGGUGAAAUGCUUAGAGAUCAUACAGAACACCGAUUGCGAAGGCAGCUUACCAAGCUACGUCUGACGUUGAGGCACGAAAGCGUGGGGAGCAAACAGGAUUAGAUACCCUUGUAGUC
rnacentral:rRNA from 1 species